rnacentral:lncRNA from 1 species
CCUAAGUACUACAAUUGAACUUCUUAUUUGAGAGAGUAAUUCACUCCUUAGGGUAAUUUGAGUGGUAUCAAAUCUGGCGCCGUUGCUGGGGAGCUUUGAUCGCCAUUAAAUUUAGUGUUAUUAAUUCUUUUCUUUUUCUUUACCCCCAUUCUGAGACAAAAAAAAUUUCUUGUCUUUUCAGGUGCAUGCCCAGCAGUACCAGAAGCAACAAGGAAAAACACCUGCUAUUCUAAGAAGAUUCUUCUCACCUGGAACGCACGUACAUGUCCACCAGUACCAGAAACAACAAGGAAACACACCUGCUAUUCUCAGAAGAUCCUUUUCACUUGGAACGCUCGACCUGCAAAGACCAACGUUCCACAUCGAUCGACAUAGCAGCUUUCACAUCGACCGAUACUCGCACCCAACCGUCGACCAACACUC